UUAAGCGACUAAGCGUACACGGUGGAUGCCCUGGCAGUCAGAGGCGAUGAAGGACGUGCUAAUCUGCGAAAAGCGUCGGUAAGGUGAUAUGAACCGUUAUAACCGGCGAUGUCCGAAUGGGGAAACCCAGUGUGAUUCGUCACACUAUCGUUAACUGAAUACAUAGGUUAACGAGGCGAACCGGGGGAACUGAAACAUCUAAGUACCCCGAGGAAAAGAAAUCAACCGAGAUUCCCCCAGUAGCGGCGAGCGAACGGGGAGCAGCCCAGAGUCUGAAUCAGCUUGUGUGUUAGUGGAACGGUCUGGAAAGUCCGACGGUACAGGGUGAUAGUCCCGUACACCAAAAUGCACAGGCUGUGAACUCGAAGAGUAGGGCGGGACACGUGGUAUCCUGUCUGAAUAUGGGGGGACCAUCCUCCAAGGCUAAAUACUCCUGACUGACCGAUAGUGAACCAGUACCGUGAGGGAAAGGCGAAAAGAACCCCGGCGAGGGGAGUGAAAAAGAACCUGAAACCGUGUACGUACAAGCAGUGGGAGCACCUUCGGGUGUGACUGCGUACCUUUUGUAUAAUGGGUCAGCGACUUAUAUUCUGUAGCAAGGUUAACCGUAUAGGGGAGCCGCAGGGAAACCGAGUCUUAACUGGGCGUUAAGUUGCAGGGUAUAGACCCGAAACCCGGUGAUCUAGCCAUGGGCAGGUUGAAGGUUGGGUAACACUAACUGGAGGACCGAACCGACUAAUGUUGAAAAAUUAGCGGAUGACUUGUGGCUGGGGGUGAAAGGCCAAUCAAACCGGGAGAUAGCUGGUUCUCCCCGAAAGCUAUUUAGGUAGCGCCUCGUGAACUCAUCUUCGGGGGUAGAGCACUGUUUCGGCUAGGGGGUCAUCCCGACUUACCAACCCGAUGCAAACUACGAAUACCGAAGAAUGUUAUCACGGGAGACACACGGCGGGUGCUAACGUCCGUCGUGAAGAGGGAAACAACCCAGACCGCCAGCUAAGGUCCCAAAGUCAUGGUUAAGUGGGAAACGAUGUGGGAAGGCACAGACAGCCAGGAUGUUGGCUUAGAAGCAGCCAUCAUUUAAAGAAAGCGUAAUAGCUCACUGGUCGAGUCGGCCUGCGCGGAAGAUGUAACGGGGCUAAACCAUGCACCGAAGCUGCGGCAGCGACACUAUGUGUUGUUGGGUAGGGGAGCGUUCUGUAAGCCUGCGAAGGUGACCUGUGAGGGUUGCUGGAGGUAUCAGAAGUGCGAAUGCUGACAUAAGUAACGAUAAAGCGGGUGAAAAGCCCGCUCGCCGGAAGACCAAGGGUUCCUGUCCAACGUUAAUCGGGGCAGGGUGAGUCGACCCCUAAGGCGAGGCCGAAAGGCGUAGUCGAUGGGAAACAGGUUAAUAUUCCUGUACUUGGUGUUACUGCGAAGGGGGGACGGAGAAGGCUAUGUUAGCCGGGCGACGGUUGUCCCGGUUUAAGCAUGUAGGCUGGUUAUCCAGGCAAAUCCGGAUAAUCAAGGAUGAGGUGUGAUGACGAGGCACUACGGUGCUGAAGUAACAAAUGCCCUGCUUCCAGGAAAAGCCUCUAAGCAUCAGGUAACAUCAAAUCGUACCCCAAACCGACACAGGUGGUCAGGUAGAGAAUACCAAGGCGCUUGAGAGAACUCGGGUGAAGGAACUAGGCAAAAUGGUGCCGUAACUUCGGGAGAAGGCACGCUGGUGUGUAGGUGAAGUCCCUGCGGAUGGAGCUGAGACCAGUCGAAGAUACCAGCUGGCUGCAACUGUUUAUUAAAAACACAGCACUGUGCAAACACGAAAGUGGACGUAUACGGUGUGACGCCUGCCCGGUGCCGGAAGGUUAAUUGAUGGGGUUAUCCGUAAGGAGAAGCUCUUGAUCGAAGCCCCGGUAAACGGCGGCCGUAACUAUAACGGUCCUAAGGUAGCGAAAUUCCUUGUCGGGUAAGUUCCGACCUGCACGAAUGGCGUAAUGAUGGCCAGGCUGUCUCCACCCGAGACUCAGUGAAAUUGAACUCGCUGUGAAGAUGCAGUGUACCCGCGGCAAGACGGAAAGACCCCGUGAACCUUUACUAUAGCUUGACACUGAACAUUGAGCCUUGAUGUGUAGGAUAGGUGGGAGGCUUUGAAGCGUGGACGCCAGUCUGCGUGGAGCCAACCUUGAAAUACCACCCUUUAAUGUUUGAUGUUCUAACGUUGGCCCCUUACCGGGGUUGCGGACAGUGUCUGGUGGGUAGUUUGACUGGGGCGGUCUCCUCCCAAAGCGUAACGGAGGAGCACGAAGGUUAGCUAAUCCUGGUCGGACAUCAGGAGGUUAGUGCAAUGGCAUAAGCUAGCUUGACUGCGAGCGUGACGGCGCGAGCAGGUGCGAAAGCAGGUCAUAGUGAUCCGGUGGUUCUGAAUGGAAGGGCCAUCGCUCAACGGAUAAAAGGUACUCCGGGGAUAACAGGCUGAUACCGCCCAAGAGUUCAUAUCGACGGCGGUGUUUGGCACCUCGAUGUCGGCUCAUCACAUCCUGGGGCUGAAGUAGGUCCCAAGGGUAUGGCUGUUCGCCAUUUAAAGUGGUACGCGAGCUGGGUUUAGAACGUCGUGAGACAGUUCGGUCCCUAUCUGCCGUGGGCGCUGGAGAAUUGAGGGGGGCUGCUCCUAGUACGAGAGGACCGGAGUGGACGCAUCACUGGUGUUCGGGUUGUCAUGCCAAUGGCACUGCCCGGUAGCUAAAUGCGGAAGAGAUAAGUGCUGAAAGCAUCUAAGCACGAAACUUGCCCCGAGAUGAGUUCUCCCUGAGACUAUAAGUCUCCUGAAGGAACGUUAAAGACGAUGACGUUGAUAGGCCGGGUGUGUAAGCGCAGCGAUGCGUUGAGCUAACCGGUACUAAUGAACCGUGAGGCUUAACCUU
rnacentral:rRNA from 1 species